rfam:Saprolegnia parasitica CBS 223.65 mitochondrial scaffold supercont2.1443, whole genome shotgun sequence.
UAGAGUAUGGCCAAGUGGUAAGGCAUCCGUUUUUGGUAUGGAAAAUCAGAGGUUCGAAUCCUUUUACUCUAA